CGUCCCAUGGUAGAACCUUGGAAACUGAGGCUAAAACUGAAUAGACAAUUAACACUGGAAUGUGUUUUUGUUUAAAAGUAAUGCCAUAGGAUGAGACAGCGGCUGAUUAGGCAGUUGGCGGGGUAACGGCCCACCAAACCUUAGAUCAGUAGGGGCUUUGAGAGAAGUAGCCUCGAGAAGGACACUGAGAUACUGGUCCUAGCCCUAAGGGGUGCAGCAGUUGCGAAAACUUCGCAAUGCGCGGAAGCGUGACGAGGGGAUUCUGAGUGCUUACGGUUUAUCCGUAGGCUUUUCGCCAGGGCAAAUACCUGGCGGAAUAAGUGGUGGGCAAGACUGGUGCCAGCCGCCGCGGUAACCCCAGCGCCACAAGUGGGAACCACGCUUAUUGGGUUUAAAGCAUUCGUAGCCGGUUCGGCAAAUGCCCUGUGAAAUCGUUUCGCUUAACGAAACGACGUGCAGGGUAGACUACCGAACUAGGGACCAGGGGAAGGAGACGGUAUUCCUGAGGGAGCGGUAAAAUGUGAUAAUCUCAGGAGGACCACCGAUGGCGAAGGCAGUCUCCUAAAAUGGAUCCGACGGUGAGGAAUGAAAGCUAGGGGAGCGAUCCGGAUUAGAUACCCGAGUAGUCCUAGCCGUAAACGCUGCAUGCCAGAUGUUACACAAUCUUCGAGAUUGUGUAGUGUCGCAACGAAGGUGUUAAGCAUGCCACCUGGGAAGUACGGUCGCAAGGCUGAAACUUAAAGGAAUUGGCGGGGGAGCAC
rnacentral:rRNA from 1 species